GCGGUAGUAGCUCAAUGGUAGAGUACAACCUUCCCAAGGUUGGUGUUGCGGGUUCGAGUCCCGUCUACCGCU
rnacentral:tRNA from 1 species